rnacentral:rRNA from 1 species
GAUGAACGCUAGCGGCGUGCCUAAUACAUGCAAGUAGAACGCUGAAGCUUGGUGCUUGCACCGAGCGGAUGAGUUGCGAACGGGUGAGUAACGCGUAGGUAACCUGCCUCUUAGCGGGGGAUAACUAUUGGAAACGAUAGCUAAUACCGCAUAAAAGUCGAUAUCGCAUGAUAUUGAUUUGAAAGGUGCAAUUGCAUCACUAAGAGAUGGACCUGCGUUGUAUUAGCUAGUUGGUGAGGUAACGGCUCACCAAGGCGACGAUACAUAGCCGACCUGAGAGGGUGAUCGGCCACACUGGGACUGAGACACGGCCCAGACUCCUACGGGAGGCAGCAGUAGGGAAUCUUCGGCAAUGGGGGCAACCCUGACCGAGCAACGCCGCGUGAGUGAAGAAGGUUUUCGGAUCGUAAAGCUCUGUUGUAAGAGAAGAACGAGUGUGAGAGGGAAAGUUCACAC